GACGAACGCUGGCGGCGUGCUUAACACAUGCAAGUCGAACGGAAAGGCCCUGCUUGCAGGGUGCUCGAGUGGCGAACGGGUGAGUAACACGUGGGUGAUCUGCCCCUUACUUUGGGAUAAGCCUGGGAAACUGGGUCUAAUACUGGAUAGGACCAUGCUGUAGGUGGUGUGGUGGAAAGAUUAGUUUCGGUAAGGGAUGAGCUCGCGGCCUAUCAGCUUGUUGGUGGGGUAAUGGCCUACCAAGGCGUCGACAGGUAGCCGGCCUGAGAGGGUGGACGGCCACAUUGGGACUGUGAUACGGCCCAGACUCCUACGGGAGGCAGCAGUGGGGAAUAGUGCACUAUGGGCGCAAGCCGGAUGCCGCGACGCCGCGUGGGGGAUGACGGCCUUCGGGUUGUAAACUCCUUUCGGCCAUGACGAAGCCCUUGUGGUGACGGUAGUGGUAGAAGAAGCACCGGCUAACUACGUG
rnacentral:rRNA from 1 species